rnacentral:misc_RNA from 1 species
GCGCAUCGCGCCAAGCGCGUCCUCAUCGAACCCGUUCUCGCGGCGCAUGCACCAGAGCGAAUAGACGCAGUCCAUUUCGCCGAUGAUUCCGGCAUCGCCGAACCGGUGAAUGAACGUCGCGANUGGCCGUCGCCAACAAGCUUCGUCGUCAUCCCGAAAUGCUCGUCAUUGUCGUCGAUGCAGAGCUCGUUCUGGCCGUUCUGAAGCAUGGUGUAGAACGGCGAGCGCCGCCAGUUC